rnacentral:rRNA from 1 species
GAUGAACGCUGGCGGCGUGCCUAACACAUGCAAGUCGAGCGAACGGACGAGAAGCUUGCGGCUCGGAUGUGAGCGGCAGAGGGGUGAGUAACAUGAGUAUAACCUACCUAUCAGACGGGGAUAAUUACGGGAAACGGUAGCUAAUACCGGAUAAGAUUUUGAACCGUAGGGGGCAAAAGUGAAAUACGGUGGUUGUGGCACUAAUAGAUGGAUCCGCGCUGCAUUAGCUAGUUGGUAAGUUAACGGCUUAUCAAGGCAACGAUUGAUAGCCGACCUGAGAGGGUGGUAGCCCACACUGGAACUGAGACACCGUCCUGACUCCUACGGGAGGCAGCAGUCUGGAAUCUUCGGCAGUGGGGGAGAGCCUGACGCAGCAACGGCGCGUGAGUGAUGAAGGUCUUCCGAUCGUAAAACUCUGUUAUUAGGUGUGAACAUAUGUCUAAGUAACUGAGCAGAUAUUGACGGUACCUGGUAAAAAAGCCACGGCUAACUACGUG